UCUACUCAUCAGAGCAAUGGCCUGGACGUGCCCUACACUUCCUCACAUUUCUUCAGAAUAUUAUUGUUCGAAGGCAGAGGAAUGAGAUAAGGAAUAUACUGAUAAGAGUAAUUAACUGUGUCGGAUAGAUCUCGGAUUUAGAAGCAGAUCUGAUGUACAGUAAGAUAGCAUGGUGAACAGUCUGGCUGCAAGAGCAGAGGUGACCUUCCUAGAAGAGCCUGGGACAAAAUGUGUGCUUAAAUUGUUUCUGAAUAGGUGGAGAUUUCUAAAGUGGCAUUUCAGCUAUACCGAGAACUAAGAAAAGCAAGGAAUAAAAUCUGCAUAUUUAGGUUUAUAAAACCAUCUUCCUGAGUCAGCGCUGGUAUUUAAAGGUGACAACGCAUCAUGCUCGCAAGCACUUGGAACAACGAUUCUACCUAGAAACCUGGAUAAGGAGUUAGGAACAGGCGAAAGGAUGUGCGUAAAGGCUGGAGCGGCCCCCGGCAGCCGCAGCAGCGGCGCCGUGGGCCGUUGCUUGGCCAGGAGUCACCACGAUAUUCUGCUCUCCUCCGUGCAUGCAUCUCCCAUGUCCCUACGGCGUCAAAGCUCACGAGUGGGACCUUGGAAAGCGGCUUUAAUCUAUAGUGCGGUUUUACAGUUUUCUGUGUUAUUUGGAAACAGGACUUCAUAGCUUCUGUUGUGAACGGGGGAAUACUGUUACUCCCAUUCUGCAGAUGGGAAAGGAAGCACGGCAUGCUGCAAUAAUUUGCCCAAGUUCACUUGUGAAGUCUGUGGCAGAGCAAGGUGUCAACUGGACCUUCAUCAGAUCAAUGUAGUGACUAUUAGACACCUUCACUCCAAAAUAUUUGGGCUUAAGAAUUCUCCCCUGGCCAGCUGCAAAGGUGCUAAGAGGUUUCCAGUCCUUAGCACCUGAGAUAUUGGCCCGGAGUAAGGGUGAAUAACUUGUUUGUGGCAUUUAAAUGUUGCUAGCUGUAGAAAUGCUGAAGAGCGAGUUUUCCAGAUUAGGUUGUUUGCCUUCCUUAAGGAAGGAGUAAAAGAAAAAGGCAGAUGGAGGGGGAAUGAUGAAAAAUAAGUUAAUGUAUCUGUUUGUAGCUCUAGCAGUUCUGAAUUAUGCGAGUGCAUACAUUUCAAGUGGAACAUCUCACCAUUACGAAGAUACUUUUCUGAUAAUGAAAUGGCUCUUACAAUUCAGAAUUUAUUCAUAUGUCUCAGGAAAAGCAAUCUCUGUUGCUUGGAAGACAAGAAUGAAAAAUUUCAACCUAGAUUUAUUUCAUUAAAAAAUUACGAACAAGUGAAAAAUAGAUGCUAGAAAGUAAUCUGGAAAUCAAUCUUAACUACACAACAGUUACUUGAUUUAUGAAUAGCAAUUUUUUUCCUGCAUAUACAAUAAAUUCUUGGCAGAAUAAAAUUGUGGUAUUUUUCACAGCAGCAAAAAGUGAUAGAUGUUUAUUUCAAGACAAGGACUUCAAAUGCUGCCCACACCAUAAUUAAGCAAAGCUCGUAAUUACAGAGUCCUGUCACUGUUCACCUAUUAUCUAGGAUCUUCCGGAACUUCAUGUUGCCAUGUACAAGUGCCAGAUGCAAAGUCUGACACUUCACGUCUGAUCUGUGGGUGCAGAUUUCCUGUUACCGUGACAGUCUGACACAGCUAGAGCAGGCUUCUGGCUUUGCACGUAUGAUAAAAAGAAGUGACCUGGUAGUGAAAGUUUCCUGCAUUCAUCUUGGAAAAGUGUCCCUAGAGCACAGAGGCCAAGAGCAAAAUUUAUUUCCAGUUUGGUUUGGGAUGCAUUUCUCAUUGUAUUAGAUAUAAAGAAGGCCUUUUAAUUUCACGGUCCCUGGGAAAGGGAAACUCGAGUAAGCUGAAAAUAUUGUGAAAUAAUUUCUGCAUAAACAUCUGAUACUAAAGUCUUGAACUACUGAUGCUGACGAGAUUGAGCUGUAAUUAUAUUUCUUUCUCAGGAUGUGCUUCCAAAUCCUGAGUGUAUAUCAUUUGAUUAUAGUUUAUGUGUCAGGUUUGUUGCAUAGCGUUAUAAAUUCCAGUCUUAUUUGCACGGUGUAGUAAAGUGUUAAGUAAAGAUACUGAGAGAGCAUGUGUGGAAAGCACCUAAGUUCCAGUAUUUGAAAUACCUGUGGUAUGAGGCUGACUUUGAUAUCUGCUCCCUCUUAAAGAGUGCUCCUGAAUUUCAUGUAUUGUUCUAGAUAUUUUUCUUCCUGGAAAAAAUGUCAACACUGAGUAAAUCGGCCCAUGGCUAAUUUAAGUGAGAUGUUUGAGACUUCUCCAGUGGGAAAUACUUGGGAAGGUCUGUUGUGCUGCAGUUCUUGUUCAGUGUUCGGGGGGUUUUGGAUGACCCCAGGCUGUUAGGGGAAGAGUGUUUCAACCCAGUCUGAUGUGCAGAGCGAAAAAUAGAAAAGUGCCUCUGCAGGCACCUAGGAAGGACUUCUAAGCAAAACUCAAGAUUUCAGCAUGGGGUCAGGGCUACUGGAAACUUAGGAGAGAGUGAGAGCAGUUUGUUGCAUGAUUCUGGCAGACAGAGGAUGAAUUUUGAGGUUUGCCCCUCAGGACGCUGCUCUCUCUUGUUCGACAGCAGCGCUUGUUCUCUUCUAGUGUUAUUUUGGAAAGUGUGGAGGGAAGUCUUUUGUUAUUGCAUCUCGCUGGAAGGCCACGAGAAAGAGGUUGGUCACUGGUCAUUUCACUACUGUAUUGGCUAGCUGCUCGAAGCAGUCCGGAUAGCGCUGUGGCUUUAGGUGUAGAUGAGA